rnacentral:rRNA from 1 species
GACGAACCGUGCGAACGUUGUUCGGAAUCACUGGGCUUAAAGGGCGCGUAGGCGGGUGUGCAAGUCUGUGGUGAAAGCCUCCAGCUUAACUGGAGAAGUGCCAUGGAUACUGCACAUCUUGAGGAGGGUAGGGGCAUCUGGAACGGUCGGUGGAGCGGUGAAAUGCGCAGAUAUCAGGAGGAACACCGGUGGCGAAGGCGGGUCUCUGGGCCGAUACUGACGCUGAGGAGCGAAAGCGUGGGGAGCGAACAGG